rnacentral:rRNA from 1 species
GACGAACGCUGGCGGCGUGCCUAAUACAUGCAAGUCGAACGAGAGCGACCGGUGCUUGCACUGGUCAAUCUAGUGGCGAACGGGUGAGUAACACGUGGGUAACCUGCCCAUCAGAGGGGGAUAACAUCCGGAAACGGAUGCUAAAACCGCAUAGGUCUUCGAACCGCAUGGUUUGAAGAGGAAAAGAGGCGCAAGCUUCUGCUGUUGGAUGGACCCGCGGUGCAUUAGCUAGUUGGUGAGGUAACGGCUCACCAAGGCCGUGAUGCAUAGCCGACCUGAGAGGGUGAUCGGCCACAUUGGGACUGAGACACGGCCCAAACUCCUACGGGAGGCAGCAGUAGGGAAUCUUCCGCAAUGGACGCAAGUCUGACGGAGCAACGCCGCGUGAGUGAAGAAGGUGUUCGGAUCGUAAAACUCUGUUGUUAGAGAAGAACAAGUGCUAGAGUAACUGUUAGCGCCUUGACGGUAUCUAACCAGAAAGCCACGGCUAACUACGUG